CCCUAUGGGGUGCAGCAGGCGCGAAACCUCCACAAUGCGCGAAAGCGUGAUGGGGUUAUCCCGAGUGCCGUCCGAUGAGGAUGGCUUUUCAUCGGUGUAAGGAUCCGAUGGAAUAAAGGGGGGGCAAGACUGGUGUCAGCCGCCGCGGUAAUACCAGCCCCCUGAGUGGUAGGGACGAUUAUUUGGCCUAAAGCGUUCGUAGCCGGCUUAUCAAGUCUUUUGUUAAAUCCAACGAUUCAAUCGUUGGGCCGCAAAAGAUACUGUUAUGCUAGAGGACGGGAGAGGUCGACGGUAGUCCAGGGGUAGGGGUGAAAUCCUAUAAUCCUUGGAGGACCACCAGUGGCGAAGGCGGUCGACUAGAACGUGCCUGACGGUGAGGGACGAAAGCUGGGGGAGCGAACCGGAUUAGAUACCCGGGUAGUCCCAGCUGUAAACGAUGCGGGCUAGGUGUUGGGGUAGCCACGAGCUACCCCAGUGCCGCAGAGAAGUUAUUAAGCCCGCCGCCUGGGGAGUACGGCCGCAAGGCUGAAACUUAAAGGAAUUGGCGGGGGAGCACCACAAGGGGUGAAGGCUGCGGUUUAAUUGGAGUCAACGCCGGGAACCUUACCGGGGCUGACAGCAGAGUGAAGGCCAGACUGAAGAUCUUGCCAGACAAGCUGAGAGGAGGUGCAUGGCC
rnacentral:rRNA from 1 species